AUGCUGCAGAAUCUGCUGGCACUGUCAGGUUGCCCAGAGGACCAUGAGCAUUGCUUCACGCAGGCAUUUUGAAAAUAAAGGUCCAGAAAACACAAGCUGUUUCAGGAGAAGAACAGAAUUCCAGUGCAUCUAAAGGGUGGUGGAGCUGAUGACCUCCUGUAUAGAGCCACCGUGAUUCUCGAUUAGUGAAACAGCAUAUGCCAUGCAUCAGCUGGCUGUGGUUUCAUUUCCCAAGAAAUAGGAUUGACAUCAGUCAUCACAGCAGUGACUUGAUUCAGUUUCAUUCAGCUCUCUAUGGACUCCUAGUCUGAUAAAUAACUAAGUCCUUCUUUGAGGAUCAAAAUUUGAAUUGUACUAACUGCCACCAAUAAAGUAGUCUUUAUCAAAAAUAAAAACCAAAAUCCUUGAGUGCUAACAGACAAAUCCAGGGCAGAAAUAUUGCCACUGAGGUUGAAGUUGGGGGUAAGAGGGUAUUGUACGUGACCUUGGGCACAGGUGGCCUAGCAUGAAACAAAACUACAACCCACUCAUGGAACUAGCAGGAGGGGUGGGAUUUUCCUACAGUGACAAAUUCCUUGUGGAAUAGGGAGAAACCUAGAGUGAACAUGAGAACUAGAGGUUGGAUUCUUUGUGUAAACAACGGAUAGUAAAAUUUUUAAGCUCCUAUACUACCUUUAUAACAUAUCCGUUUGGGUUGAUAGGAGAGCAAAGGGAAAAACAGGGCAGAGGAAAGAAGUUUCCAAGGGAUUGAAAGGUAUUACCCAGGCUUCUAGUUACUUAUCCUAGGGUCGGAUCCAUCCUGAGCUGGGUGUAUAUAUGAUUACUUUUUCUAGCUAACCCCUCUUUCUAGAAAAGCUAUUUUUAAAGGAAGUAACUACCAUUUGGACACGUUUCAGAAUCCAUUUUUAUGCUUUGGUUUUUAUUGUCUCAGUUUAACAUUUCUGUGAGGUAGACAGUAUUAUCCCUAAAUGACAGCUAAAGAACCUCGUGAGUACUUCCUGGUAAGUGGCUGUGUGAUCAAACAAACAGCCUGAGAGUAUCCAGCCGUGGUUCCAGGUCUAACCCCAAAAUGUUUAGAAGGCAGGUUAUCCAAACUUCUGACUACUCCCCACUUUGCUUCUCUUGGUAGAGUGACAACCAACAAGCUGCUGCUUUCCAUUAUCAUCUUACUGGAGCUCGCCAUCCUGGGAGGCCUGGUUUACUACAAAUUCUUUCGCAACCAUUGAACUUCUAUAGGGAAGGGUUUGUGGACCAGAACUUUGACCUUGUGAAUGCAUGAUGUUAGGGAUGUGGAUAGAAUAAACAUAUUGCUGCUGUGGGCUAACAGUUCAGGUAUGCACUGGGUAGCCAAACUGUGGGAGGAGGGAGGAAAAAUGGAAAACCACUUAAAUGUGAAGGAACAGCAACAAGACCAGUAUGAUAUACCAAGGUAAUAAAUGCUGUUUAUGACUUCUUUAAAUUUACAUAGUACUGUAGCAUAUUAAUACCCUGUGAACUGCAAAAAGCCAAAUACAUUUACAGUAGUAUUGGUCACCAAAAUAGAGGGGAAACUUUACAAUUGUGAGAAUGUGUAAAUGUUCUUACACAUUAGACACCUGGCUAAUUAAGGCAGUAUUGACCCAGACAACCAUUUUGUAUCUGUCUGUCCCCUCAAUGCCUCAUAAUUCUGGAAUGCCCGUUGUGAAACAUGUUAGUGCAUAGUAUAUCCUAAAUUCUCACACGUGCUUGAUUUUCUGAUUCAUCUGGUGAACUGGGAGUAGGAAGUUGGCCAUAGACAAUAUGCCCUCCUUCUCUUGUCUGACCAAAACUUGAAGCAAUCACAUCCACUGCCAGGUUAGCUGUAGUCUUCGCCUCUUCCUCUGAGGUGGCCAACUGAGGAUUGACUUCAACAAGAUCCAGUGCCGACAGCAACCCUGGAAGAACAAAGUGUGACAAAACCUCAAAUUCCCUUGCUACUACUCUCAGUGAGGGUCAUCCCACUGGGACAGGGAGAACAAGCCAAGGUAAAAACAAGAGUCCCUUUUGUAGUAGAAAAUACCUAUUUUCAGGAAGCCCCUUGCACCUCAUCCUCUUGGCCAUGAAUUUAAGUUAAAACACUGUUAUGCUCCAGUAGAUUAAAAGAAACCUUUAAGAUAACUAAAUAAACCAUUCUUGUUCAACUAACAUAAUAGGCAUAAUUGUCAGGCCUUCUGGAAAAGGAAAAGGCUUGGUGUUGGGUGGGGGAGGUUUUCAUCCUGCUUGUUGGCAAAAUGUAUACCAUCUCCAGUAUGACUAGGAACCUUCCAGAUGCCUGCCUGGAAAUGAAUCAAGUAUGAAGGCAGAGGAAAUCUCCCACUUUCACUAGCUAAACUCCAUUCCCACUUUUGAACUCUAAUGUGUUUUCUGUAUCUGUUAGAGCACCACACCAUAUGCGCUGAAAUGUAGUUAUUACUGCAAGCUUCAUUCUCACCCCUGCAGGCCUGAGCUCUGGAGGCAGGUUCCACAUCUAACACAUCUUUUGUCUCCCAGCAGACUGACCCAGUAUCUUCUACUUGAUCAAGAGAAGAUUCAGCCAUAUGUUAGUUAUUUUAUUUGGACUCCAGUUACCUUCUGUUAAGGUUUGAGAACUUCUGUCAAAGUUCUCAGUACUGUUCCUUUGGCCUGGAGCAAGUGGAAGGGAAGCUUAAACCAGAAGAACCUAUCCAGACCUGCUAACAUGCUCACCCCUCUAAAUGCCUCAUUGCUCUGUAGAAUUUAACUUUUUAGUUGGUUAUUCUGGAUGAAGCGUGAUCUGAACAAGCUAGUAUUCAGGAAUACAAGUAUCUGAGAAUAUUCAGGGUGGCCAUAAAGUCUGGAAACACAGGCGAAUGUACCUAAUGGUUUAUUGAUAUUACACUAUAGUACAUGAUGUGCUCAAUGCCAUAUGUCCAUUCAGCAUCUUCCCUUAUUAGCAAUGUGUAGUUGAGUGUAUGGUGCCAAACUGCAACCAACAGGUAUAUUACUGUAGCAUUUCCAUCAUUUCCUGCACAUAGACCUGUGUUCCUGAUUUGUCUCUUGAUUUCCACUGACUAAACCUGCACCUUUAGCAUAUCUUAGAAGUGGUAAUCAAGGUUUGCAGUAUUAGAAAUACAUGCAUGACUUAUGUUUCCAGACUAUUGUCACCCUUUAAGCAAACUGCUUUAGGUAUCCAGUUGACAGCAUUAUAACAGUGCAGUGGCACAGUCAUGGCUAACUGCAAACUCAACCUCCCAAGUAGUUGGGACACCUGGCUAAUUAUUUUUUUUAGAAACAGGGUCUCACUAUGUUGCCCAGGCUGGUCUUGAACCCCUGGGGUCAAGUAAUCCUCCUGCCUUGGCCUCCCAGAGUACUGGGAUUAUAGGUAUGAACCACUGUGCCUAGCCCCAUGAGUGUCUUUUGGAAUAAAAUAUUGUAGCAUGGGAACAAAGAGACAAGUCAUGGCCGCUGCCACAUAUAAGUGCUAGAGGUUAUAACCCCUGCUCUAAAGUGGUGUUUUUAGGAAGCAAAGCAGAGAAUUGAACUCCCAGGUUCUCUGACCAAUAACCUGAGGACCACUGGCAACAUCUAAGAUUGCAGAUCUGAGAAUUAGACCAGUACUACCUGCCUUUCUGUACUGCCUAAGGUUCUAGCAGGCUGUGGCACUAAGGAGACCAUUUCUCAAUGUCAGUUUCUAUCCCAUCUAGUCAGGGGUUCUCUAUGGCCCUGAACCUUUCAAUCUGGGGUCUCUAUCCAUACCUUAGUUCCAUCACAUGGUUACUGAAGCAGUAUGAUUUGGUAGUUCUUUAAAUUUUGGAAUGAAAGGUCAUUUGAAGUAGCUUUAAAACCAGAAGCUUUCUGACAGAAAUGGAAACUGUUUGCAAACAAGUAUGAGUUUUGGAAAAGUAGCCAGUCUUGAUAACGUACAAUUCAUCUUAGUACUCUUUCCAUCAAUCAUUCUCAUCUAACUGUAUCCCCCUUAUUAGAGAUCCUAUCAGGCUCUAAUACAAGACCUACCCUACAUAAAGGACCCAAGAUAUUGUCCAAUUUGCAGAUUUCUUCAAGAGAUCAGCUUUAACUCCAAAUUCACAACUCCCAGUGAACCAACCUCUUAGAGUGUAAAUUACAGUCUUGGUCUUGCCUUCUUAUCUUAAUCUGCCUUUAGAUAACUCAGACACAAAGAACUGCAUCAGUUUGACAAUUUAUUCUUGUAUUUAGUUGUUUAAAUAUACAGUUUUUUACUCAUUAUUGCCUUAGUGUAAUUUGGCAAGAGCCAUGUCCAAGCAUGACUCUAAAGUAGUCCUUUUUUAUUAGCAUGGCCAUAUAAUUUUUAGCUACAAAAGUUCAAGCAAAAACAAACUCUGCAAUGAUGUGGAAUAUCAGAAAGAUCCUUUGCAGGCAAGAGACUCUAGCAUAUUUACCUAUUUUGUUAACAGGCUGCAGACCUGGUUGCUACAUACCUGUAUUGUGUAUUUCCUCAGCAAUAUACAUGCCUUCUCGAUAGGUUAGUCCCCCUACAACAGGAGUUCCUGUGGCUGGAGCUAGUGUAGGGUCAAAUGCAUCAAUAUCAAAACUCAGAUGGAUUGGUCUUUGUCUCCUAGAAAGGAAGAAGAUAAAAUAAUAUUUAACUGGUUGUGCUUAGACACUCAUCCUUCUCAUGGUUGCAACUCCUUGAUUUUGCUAUUUGUCCUGGUACUUUGUUAAUAAAGCUGUUAAUACAUU